UGGAAUGCUGUCAAUGGUGGAAGAAGACGGGAAGGAGGAGGAUUUCGCAUUAGCAGCUGUAGGUACUCUCUUUCAUUCAUCGUUGCGUGUUUGAGAGAAAGAGAUGAUAACGAAUUCUGGUGGAGCCAUUGCAAUGGCGAUUCCCCGUAGGCCUCUGUGCAGGCCUAUUUGCUGCGCUUCAAGCAUCAUCAACACGGAACACCUUCGUUCUCAGCUCGAUCAGCUUCACGCAGAGGCCGAAACCACCAGAGCCAAGGCAAAUAAUGCUAGACUGAGGCUUUUGCGAUUGUCAGAGGCAGCAGAGAAGCUUCAAAAGCAGGCAGCUGUAAGUGUUCAAAAGGGGAAGGAAAAUGAUGCGAGAGAAAUACUUUUUCAAAGGAAGAAGGUCUUGCAAGCUUUGGAGAAGUCUAAAACCCGCAUUGAAUUGCUUGAUGAACUUUUUACAAAGCUUUGUGAGGCAAUAUCUUUGAAAGAAAGUCAACUAAUUGGGCAUGUUUCAUUGAAUAUUGAAGGCAAAACAGAAGACUCUUCAAGUCCAGUUCGAAUCAUUAGUCCAAAGGAAGAAUGUGGCAAGGAUAUUACUGACAAUGACUUGGAUUUUAAUGUGAUGAAAUCUGUUGAUAUUCAAGACGUGCAGAUUUCUGCGGAAAGUCAAGGGGAUUCAUUGAGUGACAAGGAGACUGGGGAUCUUCAACAAUCCAUAAACAGUGCUUGUUUAGACGAGGAUAAAAAAGCUAGCGUCUUGACAGAAAUUGCUUCUUAUGAGGCAUUAAUGGGGCACAUAGAUCAAAAGCUCAGUGAAAUUGAAGUCGAACUUAUCACCACUCUGAAAGCCUCAAACUUGCUGUUGGAUGGUGAUGAGAAGCCAAAGAAUUCAAGGUGGCAACAAAUGGUGGAACUUCUUGAGAGCAUCCAUGGGAUCAGACAGAGAAUCAGAAGCAUUGGGAGUCAAAGUUAAGGAUCUGAUCACAUUUUCUGUUUUGUUCAAUUCAUCUUCUGCUUCCAGCCAUCAUCAUCUGCUUAAUCAAUUACUGGAGCAUUUACCUUUGACAAAUUUCCUGCUGUACUGAAGGAGAGUUAAGUGAAGUUGCAAGGCCCAUGCCUGUGACUUACGCUGCAAAAUUUUCACAUUAUUAUCCCUUUCAUGAAGGUUCUUGUGAAAUACUAUUCAAGAGUGACUUUCAGCAUAAGAAAGAAAGAGGAUUGUUUGAAAAUGCUAAAUGUUCUGGCUCUUGGAGUUCAUAACCUUGGCUUCUGAGAUCAUCAAAUUUUACCUACUCGUAAGCCGCAAUGUAUCUUGUCCUGGCUAACUUUUGAGAGACACAAUAUGCAUAU